GACAGAGGGUGCAAACGUUGCUCGGAUUUACUGGGCGUAAAGCGCGUGUAGGCGGGCGAAUAAGUCGGGUGUGAAAUCCCUGGGCUCAACCUAGGAACUGCAUCCGAAACUGUUCACCUGGAGUGAUGGAGAGGAAGGCGGAAUUCCCGGUGUAGAGGUGAAAUUCGUAGAUAUCGGGAGGAACACCAGUGGCGAAGGCGGCCUUCUGGACAUUUACUGACGCUGAGACGCGAAAGCGUGGGGAGCAAACAGG
rnacentral:rRNA from 1 species